AAACAUGGUUCCUUGAAUAGAUAAGGAAUCGGGCCUGCCCAGUGGAAAAAUCUUAACGGCCGCAGUAUCCUGACUGUGCAAAGGUAGCAUAAUAAUUUGCCUCUUAAUUAGAGGCUAGUAUGAAUGGUUUGACAAGGAUAUAACUGUCUCUAAAAAAUUUAUUAUAAAUUAGUUUUUAGGUGAAGAAACCUAAAUAUAAUUAAAAGACAAGAAGACCCUGUCGAGCUUAAUAUAAAUGUAGAGGUAUAUAGUAUAUUUAUAAAUAAAUUACAUUACAGAGUUUUGGUUGGGGCAACCUAGGAAUAAGAAGAACUUCCUAUAUAAUUUCUAGUUAACAAAUAUUGAUCCACAGAAGUGAUUUAAGGAAUAAGCUACCGCAGGGAUAACAGCGUAAUUUUCUUUAAGAGUUCUAAUCGAAAAGAGAGUUUGCGACCUCGAUGUUGGACUAAAGUAUCCUAAAGAUGCAGAAGUCUUUAAAGGUAAGUCUGUUCGACUAUUAAAACUUUACAUGAUCUGA
rnacentral:rRNA from 1 species